rnacentral:rRNA from 1 species
GAUCAUGGCUCAGAACGAACGCUGGCGGCAGGCCUAAGACAUGCAAGUCAAGGGGUCCAGCAAUGGACACCGGCGCACGGGUGCGUAACGCGUGGGAAUGUACCUCUAGGUGCGGAACAACACAGGGAAACUUGUGCUAAUACCGCAUAAUAUCUUCGGAUCAAAGAUUUAUCGCCUAGGGAUCAGCCCGCGUAAGAUUAGGUAGUUGGUAGGGUAAUGGCCUACCAAGCCUACGAUCUUUAGCUGGUCUGAGAGGAUGAUCAGCCACACUGGGACUGAGACACGGCCCAGACUCCUACGGGAGGCAGCAGUUAGGAAUAUUGGACAAUGGAGGAAACUCUGAUCCAGCCAUGCCGCGUGAGUGAAGAAGGCCUUCGGGUUGUAAACUCUUUUAGUCGUGACGAUGAUGACGGUAGCGACAGAAAAAGCUCCGGCUAACUUCGUG